UGAUCAGUAAUCAUACUGCAACUAAGAGUAUCUGAAAUAGAAGUGCAAGUGUUGCAAGCGUCAAAAAUAUAGUGUCACGAUCUUUUUAGGCCUUUUCCGUUAAUCGGUUCAUGAUCAAAUAGAUAAAAGUUGCGAUCGAUUAUAAGAACCGCGCAUAUCGAAUUUCAAUAGUGGUUUUUAGUGAUCAAGAGAGAUGUAUAUUGUAAAAGUUUCCGUGAUUCUGCUGUUUAAUUACACUUAUGUCUUUGGUGGGUUAUCUGGUCUCUAUGUGGAUAAUGGAAUCGGACAAACUGUAAUGGAUACGAUGAUGAAUAGUGACGAUCAACUAGAAAUUGAACAUGAGAUAUUAGAGUUGCUAGGACUACCUGAGAGACCUAGAAAAAGACACUUACAUUCAUCAAUCAGCAAAUCAGCUCCUCAGUUUCUUCUAAAUGUGUAUGAUAAAAUAUCAGCGGAUUCUAACAAUUUUCAUCAGCGGCAUAUCCGAAGCGCUAGUAAAGAAGAUGUUUUGUUUACCGACGCAGAUAACAAAGCAAUUGAUCAAAGUGACAUCAUUAUGACAUUUUUGAAUAAAAGUUCGUUCACCACCCGGAAUGAAGGCUCGGUGCGGUUAGUAAUAUCAAACAGUGUUACAUGCAAACGAAAAAGAGGUACAACCAGGAUUAGUUUUUUAAAGUAAAAGUUUCAUCUGAAUACCCAACUAACCAUAUCUCAGUGACAUUGUCCCACUCUGAACCCACACCUAAAGCUAUUUUGUGAUUAUAUGGUUACUUUGGUACUCACAUGAAAUGUUGUGCAAGUACCACAAGUUCAACAACGCCCAACUAUGGACAGCUUAAUGUUAAUACCAUUUACUCUUUGAAUCAGCUUACACCAACAUGAUAAUCUACUAAGAAACAUCUAA